GACGAACGCUGGCGGCGUGCUUAACACAUGCAAGUCGAACGGAGAGGCCCAGCUUGCUGGGUACUCGAGUGGCGAACGGGUGAGUAACACGUGGGUGAUCUGCCCUGCACUCUGGGAUAAGCCUGGGAAACUGGGUCUAAUACCGGAUAUGACCGACUGUCGCAUGGUGGUUGGUGGAAAGCUUUUGCGGUGUGGGAUGGGCCCGCGGCCUAUCAGCUUGUUGGUGGGGUAAUGGCCUACCAAGGCGACGACGGGUAGCCGACCUGAGAGGGUGAUCGGCCACACUGGGACUGAGACACGGCCCAGACUCCUACGGGAGGCAGCAGUGGGGAAUAUUGCACAAUGGGCGCAAGCCUGAUGCAGCGACGCCGCGUGAGGGAUGACGGCCUUCGGGUUGUAAACCUCUUUCACCAGGGACGAAGCGUGAGUGACGGUACCUGGAGAAGAAGCACCGGCCAACUACGUG
rnacentral:rRNA from 1 species